UGUUGUGCUGCACCCCGUGAACAAUAUUGUUAACAAGUUGUUGAACCAUCAACAUUGUUGCAACUUGUUGACAAUCAUGUUAACAACUUGCAACAGUACUGAUGGUUGAACAACUUGUUAACAAUAUUGUUCACGGGGUGCAGCACAACA
rnacentral:miRNA from 1 species